rnacentral:rRNA from 1 species
ACGAGCAAGAGAGAGCUUGCUUUCUUGAGCGAGUGGCGAACGGGUGAGUAACGCGUGAGGAGCCUGCCUCAAAGAGGGGGACAACAGUUGGAAACGACUGCUAAUACCGCAUAAGCCCACGGGUCGACAUCGACCAGAGGGAAAAGGAGCAAUCCGCUUUGAGAUGGCCUCGCGUCCGAUUAGCUAGUUGGUGAGGUAACGGCCCACCAAGGCAACGAUCGGUAGCCGGACUGAGAGGUUGAACGGCCACAUUGGGACUGAGACACGGCCCAGACUCCUACGGGAGGCAGCAGUGGGGAAUAUUGCACAAUGGGGGAAACCCUGAUGCAGCGACGCCGCGUGGAGGAAGAAGGUCUUCGGAUUGUAAACUCCUGUUGUUGAGGAAGAUAAUGACGGUACUCAACAAGGAAGUGACGGCUAACUACGUGCCAGCAGCCGCGGUAAAACGUAGGUCACAAGCGUUGUCCGGAAUUACUGGGUGUAAAGGGAGCGCAGGCGGGAAGACAAGUUGGAAGUGAAAUCCAUGGGCUCAACCCAUGAACUGCUUUCAAAACUGUUUUUCUUGAGUAGUGCAGAGGUAGGCGGAAUUCCCGGUGUAGCGGUGGAAUGCGUAGAUAUCGGGAGGAACACCAGUGGC